GGAAUAUUGGUCAAUGGGCGAUGGCCUGAACCAGCCAAGUAGCGUGAGGGACGACGGCCCUACGGGUUGUAAACCUCUUUUGUAUGGGAAUAAAGUGAGGCACGUGUGCCUUUUUGUAUGUACCAUACGAAUAAGCAUCGGCUAAUUCCGUGCCAGCAGCCGCGGUAAUACGGAAGAUGCGAGCGUUAUCCGGAUUUAUUGGGUUUAAAGGGAGCGUAGGCGGCCCGUUAAGUCAUCGGUCAAAUGUCAGUGCCCAACAUUGGCAAGCCGUUGAUACUGGUGGGCUUGAAUACACACAAGGAAGGUGGAAUUCGUCGUGUAGCGGUGAAAUGCUUAGAUAUGACGAAGAACUCCGAUUGCGAAGGCAGCCAACAAGGCCUUUACUGACGCUAAAGCUCGAAGGUGCGGGUAUCGAACA
rnacentral:rRNA from 1 species